rnacentral:rRNA from 1 species
AGAGUUUGAUCCUGGCUCAGAUUGAACGCUGGCGGCGUGCUUAACACAUGCAAGUCGUGCGAGAAAGGGGACCUCGGUCCCUGAGUAGAGCGGCGCACGGGUGAGUAACGCGUGGAUAAUCUCCCCAGAAGUUCGGGAUAACGGCGGGAAACUGCCGCUAAUACCGGAUACGCUCCAAUUUCGGUUGGGGGAAAGGCGGCCUCUGUUUACAAGCUGUCGCUUCUGGAUGAGUCCGCGUCCCAUUAGCUUGUUGGUGGGGUAAUGGCCUACCAAGGCUACGAUGGGUAGCUGGUCUGAGAGGAUGAUCAGCCACACUGGAACUGAAACACGGUCCAGACUCCUACGGGAGGCAGCAGUGGGGAAUAUUGCGCAAUGGGGGAAACCCUGACGCAGCGACGCCGUGUGAGGGAUGAAGGCUUUCGGGUCGUAAACCUCUGUCGGGAGGGAA